GCUUCUGCGGCAGCACAUAUACUAAAAUUGGAACGAUACAGAGAAGAUUGGCAUGGCUCCUGUGGGAUAAGGAUGACACACAAAAUCAUUACCAUAUUCCUAUACAU